rnacentral:rRNA from 1 species
CAUUCAGUUGUCGGGGUCGGGAUUCUCGACGUUUACUGUGAAAAAAUCAGAGUGUUCAACGCAGGCUUACGCCUUGAAUACAUUAUCAUGGAAUAAUGAGAUAGGACCUUGGCGGUCUAUUUUGUUGGUUUGCACGCCGAGGUAAUGAUUAAAAGGGACGGUUGGGGUUCUUCGUAUUCAAUUGUCAGAGGUGAAAUUCUUGGAUUUAUGGAAGACGAACUGCUGCGAAAGCGUCGAACAAGGACGUUCUCAUUAAUCAAGAACGAAAGUUAGGGGAUCGAAGAUGAUUAGAUACCAUCGUAGUCUUAACCAUAAACUAUGCCGAUUCAGGAUUGGCGGUCGUUUGUUCUCGACUCCGUCAGCACUGUAUGAGAAAUUAUAAUCUUUGGGUUCCGGGGGGAGU